rnacentral:rRNA from 1 species
GACGAACGCUGGCGGCGUGCUUAACACAUGCAAGUCGAACGCUGAAGCUCCAGCUUGCUGGGGUGGAUGAGUGGCGAACGGGUGAGUAACACGUGAGUAACCUGCCCAUGACUCUGGGAUAAGCGCUGGAAACGGCGUCUAAUACUGGAUAUGCACCAUAGCCGCAUGGUUUGUGGUGGGAAAGAUUUAUCGGUGAUGGAUGGACUCGCGGCCUAUCAGCUAGAUGGUGAGGUAAUGGCUCACCAUGGCGACGACGGGUAGCCGGCCUGAGAGGGUGACCGGCCACACUGGGACUGAGACACGGCCCAGACUCCUACGGGAGGCAGCAGUGGGGAAUAUUGCACAAUGGGCGCAAGCCUGAUGCAGCAACGCCGCGUGAGGGAUGACGGCCUUCGGGUUGUUAAACCGUACUUUACGUUAGGGUAAGAAGAAAGUAGACGGUACCGUACCAGAAGAAGACGACGGCGUAAUACGUAGCCAGCACG